GACGUAGGGCGCGAGCGUUGUCCGGAUUUAUUGGGCGUAAAGAGCUCGUAGGCGGCUUGUUGCGUCGACUGUGAAAACCCGCGGCUUAACCGCGGGCUUGCAGUUGAUACGGGCAGGCUAGAGUUCGGUAGGGGAGACUGGAAUUCCUGGUGUAGCGGUGAAAUGCGCAGAUAUCAGGAGGAACACCGGUGGCGAAGGCGGGUCUCUGGGCCGAUACUGACGCUGAGGCACGAAAGCGUGGGGAUCAAACAGG
rnacentral:rRNA from 1 species